rnacentral:rRNA from 1 species
AUGGUAGGAACCCUGAUGCAGCCAUGCCGCGUGAAUGAUGAAGGCCUUCGGGUUGUAAAGUUCUUUCGGUGACGAGGAAGGCGAUUGUUUUAAUAGAACAGUCGAUUGACGUUAAUCACAGAAGAAGCACCGGCUAACUCCGUGCCAGCAGCCGCGGUAAUACGGGGGGUGCGAGCGUUAAUCGGAAUAACACGGCGUAAAGGGCACGCAGGCGGUUGUUUAAGUGAGGUGUGAAAGCCCAGGGCUUAACCUGGGAAUUGCAUUUCAGACUGGACUACUAGAGUACUUUAGGGAGGGGUAGAAUUCCACGUGUAGCGGUGAAAUGCGUAGAGAUGUGGAGGAAUACCGAAGGCGAAGGCAGCCGCUUGGGAAUGUACUGACGCUCAUGUGCGAAAGCGUGGGGAGCAAACAGGAUUAGAUACCCUGGUAGUCCACGCCGUAAACGCUGUCGAUUUGGGGAUUGGGGUAUAACUCUGGUGCCCGUAGCUAACGUGAUAAAUCGACCGCCUGGGGAGUACGGCCGCAAGGUUAAAACUCAAAUGAAUUGACGGGGGCCCGCACAAGCGGUGGAGCAUGUGGUUUAAUUCGAUGCAACGCGAAGAACCUUACCUACUCUUGACAUCCAUGGAAUCUUGUAGAGAUAUGAGAGUGCCUUCGGGAACCAUGAGACAGGUGCUGCAUGGCUGUCGUCAGCUCGUGUUGUGAAAUGUUGGGUUAAGUCCCGCAACGAGCGCAACCCUUAUCCUUUGUUGCCAGCGAUUAGGUCCGGA